UUCACAGGAUGGCCCGCAGGAGCAACAUCACUCAAACACGCUUAUGAGGAAACAUCAUGACACCCUGUGACGCACUGCUGAACUUUUGGGGACUGGAGAGCAUGAAUCAGAAGCGCUACUGGUCCUUGAAAAAGAUACGCCUCGAGAAAGAACAUCAAGUACUGGCCCAACAGAACCGUGAAGGGGACUGCCACUGAUUGCCUUUAUUGUUUUGACAUCCUAUAUUGCGGCGGGUGUUGUGUAUGCGUCGCGAUGCGCAUUGUGUCUUGGGCCACCAGGUUGCAGGGGCUCACCCCCUACCUGCUCAGUCAUUGGUUCAUGCUGUGAAGGGGUGGAGUGUAGUGGAAUUCCAGGGUCACAGCCUGAACCAAUGGGUGGGCUCUGUGAGUGGGUGAGUCGAUUCUUUUUGAUAUCUUUCCCUCGUGUGCCUAUUUCUUAAAUAAAGGCUUUGUCAUCACCUUCAUUUGCCCUACAUCU
ensembl:lncRNA